rnacentral:lncRNA from 1 species
UUGACUCGCCACACAAAAUGAGUAUCCCAACCGAAGAUCUUAAAGAGCACACGAAGCAACAUGAGGACUUUGCUCGCUCUCCUCGUCAUCUGCGUCGUCGUAGCAGUCGCCUACGGUGGUCUCAUCAGCCACCUUAAAGCCAAGAAGUACGGUCGUGGUUUCGGCCAUGGUGGAUACGGUGGAGGCGGUGGAUACGGUGGAUACGGUGGUGGAUACGGUGGCUCAUACGGUGGAUCCUACGGCGGCUCUUACGGCGGUUCGUACGGUGGUGGCUACGGAGGCGGCUUCUGGGGCUGAACCUACCAAUUCGACUCCGACUUCUUGACCAUGACAUGAUUCCACCGAGGUACCUGACGAUUGAGUCGAUGAUCUGCGAUUCCAAUACAGCCGAAAAGUCUCAUCUCAUUUACACCAAUGAACACUUCAGUAUUUAAUUUGAAUAAAAGUUUCAAUAU